AGAAUCAUUCACAAUGGGGGAAACCCUGAUGGUGCGACGCCGCGUGGAGGAUAAGGUCUUCGGAUUGUAGACUCCUGUCAUGUGAGAGCAAGGCUUCUGUGUUAAUAGCAUAGGGGUUUGAUAGUAUCACAAGAGGAAGAGACGGCUAACUCUGUGCCAGCAGCCGCGGUAAUACAGAGGUCUCAAGCGUUGUUCGGAAUCACUGGGCGUAAAGGGUGCGUAGGCGGCUUGGUAAGUCAGAUGUGAAAGCUCAGGGCUCAACCCUGAAAUUGCAUCCGAUACUGCCAGGCUAGAGAACUGGAGAGGUGUCUAGAAUUCUCGGUGUAGCAGUGAAAUGCGUAGAUAUCGAGAGGAAUACCAAUGGCGAAGGCAGGACACUGGACAGUUUCUGACGCUGAGGCACGAAGGCUAGGGUAGCGAAC
rnacentral:rRNA from 1 species